rnacentral:lncRNA from 1 species
UUAGUUAAUUUUUUUAGGGUCAACUUCAAAUAUCAUUAAUGUGGUUUCUUACUUUUUUCAUUUUAGUACCCUAUGAUUUAAAAUGUAUCAAUUUAGCACAUUUUGAUUUUUUCUUUUUUUUUUCGUCAGCUCCUUUAUUAACAUUUCGUUAAAUUAUAUACAAAAAAUUUCAGAUAUCCUAUAUAGAUUUAUUGAAUAUUCACUUUAAUACUUUUUAUCUUUAACUUUGCCACAGAUUUAACGAAAAAAAUUAGUGGAGGAGAUAAUACAAAGAGAAAAAUGAAACCAUGGGUAUUAAAUUGAUACACUUUAAACCACAGAGUACUAAAAUAAAAAAGUAAGAAACAACGAGAGUGGUAUUUGAAGCUUUCCCUUUUUUAUAUAUUAUAUGUUUAUUAGCCAUAUUUAAAAAUUUAAAUAAAAUGUACUACUAUUCAACGCUUUUAAUCAUUUUCAACCGUUAGAUUACACUAUUCAACCAACUAACCACUCAACCCUAUGGGGCCUACAUCAUCCUAACCGCACAUUUCUUAAUCCAAGAGUCGAAAACUUACAAGCAUCAAUGACUGGGUACAUUUAAAAGUAUAGGAGCUCAAUUCUAUAUAUAUAUAUAUAUAUAUAGAGAGAGAGAGAGAGAGAGAGAGAGAGAGAGAGAGAGAGAGUUGGACUGGGCUACUAUUAGUAGCAAAAUUCCAUUAUUGCUACCAGUUUUUUAGCCUUUGGAUCAACUCUUUUCAUUAUUUCUAAUCAUUGGAUUAAAUACUAUAACCCAAUGGAGACCACUCAACCCUAGGGGGACCACUCAACUCUGACCCACUAAUAUCAUCCUGACCCUACAAUUUUUCAUCCAAGCGUUAAAACUUUGAUAGCAAAUGAGCGUUUUACUAUUAAUAGUAUUCCAGCCUAAUUAUAUAUAUAUAUAUAUAUAUAUAUAGUUGAGCUAGAAUACUAUCGGUAGUAAACGAACCGUUUUACUACCGAUUUAUUUUCGAUGAUAGAACUUCGAAAUUGACGAUCGGCUCCGUUGAACAUGAUCUAUACCACUUGAAGUGUUUAGAAAUCAAAUUUCAAAUCUUUUCGACAUCAUUU